GGCGAACGGGUGAGUAACACGUGAGUAACCUGCCCUUAACUCUGGGAUAAGCCUGGGAAACUGGGUCUAAUACCGGAUAUGACUCCUCAUCGCAUGGUGGGGGGUGGAAAGCUUUAUUGUGGUUUUGGAUGGACUCGCGGCCUAUCAGCUUGUUGGUGAGGUAAUGGCUCACCAAGGCGACGACGGGUAGCCGGCCUGAGAGGGUGACCGGCCACACUGGGACUGAGACACGGCCCAGACUCCUACGGGAGGCAGCAGUGGGGAAUAUUGCACAAUGGGCGCAAGCCUGAUGCAGCGACGCCGCGUGAGGGAUGACGGCCUUCGGGUUGUAAACCUCUUUCAGUAGGGAAGAAGCGAAAGUGACGGUACCUGCAGAAGAAGCGCCGGCUAACUACGUGCCAGCAGCCGCGGUAAUACGUAGGGCGCAAGCGUUAUCCGGAAUUAUUGGGCGUAAAGAGCUCGUAGGCGGUUUGUCGCGUCU
rnacentral:rRNA from 1 species